CUGCCAGUGCAAGAAGAGACCUCUUGAGAGAGAGCAGCAAGAUCUUGCAAGCAGAUCUUUGGUGCUGUGGAUUGGAGAUGGACCUUGGUGAAAACUGGAAGCUGGAUGAAACAAACUGGUUGUCUCAUGGUGGGAUCCACCCCUUUUCCAGUGUGAAAGGAGACAAUGAUCUCUCCGAAGGUGGUCCAGCCCUCUUUGCUCUGGAUCAGCUGGCUUUGGCUGUGGGAUUUCAGAAGAUAUGAAUCAGAUGGUGACUGUUGUGUUCCUUUUUUUCUGUGAAUCAUUAAAACAGAACAU